rnacentral:lncRNA from 1 species
UGGAGCACCUCCUGCCCUCCUUCUGCACUGCCCUGGGGGUCUGCAGGGCUGGUUCUCACUCCUUGCUCUCCCAGCUGCUCUAGCACAGCAGUACUUUUCCCCUUCCUUAAAUCUCCUCUCACAGAGGCACAAACAACAUCGCUUAUUGGCUCAGCUCUGGGCAGCGGUGGGUCCCUUUUGGAGCGUGUUGAAACUGGCCCUUAUCUAACAUGGGACAGCGUCUGGACUCUUCUUACAGAGGCCACCCCUGCAGCCCCCCCACUACUAAAAACUUUCCAUGUAAGCCCUUGGGAUUCCUGAUGGUUUUAAUGAAAGUAGAUGUUUCAGACUUCACAUUCUUCAGGGCAGGAGCAAGGUCCUUCAAAGGGAAGAAUCAAGAAAUGACCAUCUCUUUAUCAAGUAGAGCCUAGCAGCCAGGAUGCACUUGUUUGGCCAGAGAGACAGAAAAACACACAGAUGGAAGAAAGAAAAAACAAGCAAACAGAAAAUAUUGAAGCCAAAUGCUCCAGUUAUUGUUCAAACUUCUCCAGCUUGAGCUUUAAGGUAUUUUUAAUCUCAUCUCUUUUCAUUUACAGUGGCAGGUAAAGCAAAUAUAUAAAAUGUUACACUGGUUAGAAAACAGGUAGUUUUGUUUAUUAAGUCAAAGUGAAAUGUUGAUUUAAACUAAGAACAUAAAAAAAAGCAAAAGGGAGAUGAUUAUGGUUUCACUUUGGCUGCUCAGAUUCUAAUAAUCUUCUACAUGUAAUGAGACUGGGGAAUGGAGAAGCCUUUUCCUGACAAUGCUGGCAGCAGGAUAACUUCUGCACGCUAUUGAUUUUUCUUCAUUGAUUGUAAUCUUCCUCUUCCUGAGCGCCUGUCUUUGCUUCUCUGACAUAUUGAACACUGAAUAGUCCCUGAGUAAUUCUUGAACAGUUUGGGAUCAUUUUUAUUUUCACAGGACAGUUGAAACCAAUGAAGUGAUUUAUAUGUACUUUGGAAAGCAAAACAAAACAGUACUGCUCUGGGAAUAAAUACGGACACAAAGAUUUUUAUUUUUUUUUU